rnacentral:rRNA from 1 species
UUUUUUGUGGAGAGUUUGAUCCUGGCUCAGGACGAACGCUGGCGGCAUGCCUAACACAUGCAAGUCGAACGGAGAGCGGAAGUUUCGAUGGAAGCUCUUAGUGGCGGACGGGUGAGUAACGCGUGGAUAACCUGCCUGAGAGUGGGGGAUAACAGCCCGAAAGGGCUGCUAAUACCGCAUAACGUUCCUGGAGGACAUCCUCUGGGAACCAAAGGAGCAAUCCGCUCUUGGAUGGGUCCGCGUCCGAUUAGCUAGUUGGUGAGGUAAUAGCUCACCAAGGCGACGAUCGGUAGCCGGCCUGAGAGGGUGAACGGCCACACUGGGACUGAGACACGGCCCAGACUC